AGAGAGAAAGAGAGAAAGAGAGAGAGACGAACGGAGACGAGCGUCGCGUGGGGAGCGAUCGCGGCUCGUCAUUCGAAGCCCGCCAACGGACGAGCGAGCAACCACGGAACGGGACCCCGCGAUAGAGAAAAGCCACGCGAUCUUUUCUGACACGAAGAAAAAGGAAAAGAGGAAGAAAAGUAGCGUAAACGCGCGCGACACACGCGUACCUUUUCUACUUGCGAGUCACCUUCGAAGGAACUCGCGCGAUAGUGAAUUAGAGAGUGAGAGAGUGUGUGUGUGUGUGAGAGAGAGAGAAAAUCAAGUGCGAUUUUAUACUCGCCCCUCUCUCAAUAUCUUAGUUUCUUUUUUGAAAUCUUCAUCUCUUCAGCGAUCUCUUCACUUGGAUUUCAAGUUACGCUAAUUUACACGGAUCUCGUUGAUUCGAUUGGUAUAUCGUCCUCGGCAGUGUGACAGUGAUACAGGGGGAGAGGAGAGAAAUAUUAGAAAAUUACGAAAGAGGUGGUGUCUGUAACGCGCGAGAAUAUACCAGGUGGUAUUUAUUUAAUGCUCCGGUGACAGUGAACAAUGUGCUCUCUGUAACUCAAGCAGCUCUCUUUUAAGCAGUCGCAGGAUAUUUCAAGAUCCUUUCGAAACGUACGAUAGAGAUAGUGGGAUAGAGAAAUUGCAAGCAAUUUUACAGUCGCAAACAUCGUUGUUUUUUUCAAGAGAUUGGACUGUCGGCCUAUCAAGUUAGACAUUUCACGUGCGUUUCUCAGCGCCACCAACGAGGAAAAUCGAGCAGUGCUUACGAAUCGUUCGAACGUGCCGUGUCUUGUGUUUUGAAAGCGCAUCGAAAACGUGUUACCUGGAAAAUAAUAAGGAUUAGUGUUCCUCCGUCACGAAAACUCGCCACAUUACGCGAACGUGAGUGCAUCGACGUCGAUUGCUUUUUAUUUGAGAGAAAUACGAGACGAGAAAGGAAAAAAAAGGGGGUUACUUCGAGCAUUCGUACUUGUUCCAUCAUUUAAAAUUAUUUGUGCAGUGAUUUUGCGCUCUAUUACGAAUACACAGAAGCCGUGUAUUUCACAAAAAGCAACAUUUUUCAUCGCGGUGUUUCUAAGCCUACAAUACCAAGACAAUCAGAUACAUUAAUCUCGUGAUUCGUUCUUUUUCUCUCUUCGAUUGGUUUCAUUAGAUGACGCGUGCGUUACGAAUCUAACCUUAAAGAUUAGUGUUCGUCGAUCGGAGGGAGAAAUAUUUCUCUAUAUAUCCGUAUAAACGAAAAUAACGUUUCUCGAUGAAUAAUUUUUCGAAAGAGAAGUGAGAGGCAAAAGGGAAGGAAAAAGAAGUAUGAGUCAUUUAUAGUCGAUCGUCCUUGAUGUUGUUUGAACAAUAAAGUAUUAUCGUCGUGAUAUAAAUACACAAAAAUAUAUAGAGGAUCUCGUCGGAUCUCGUGUCUCUUUAAUAACAGUUCAAUGUGACCUUCGCGAGUGUGCCAACGUACUCGUCCUCGUCUCUCGUCCUUAAAACAAAGAAAGAAGAUUGUGGAUAAGAUACAUCGUUUUCUCUCUCUCUCUCUCUCUCCCUCCCCUUCAACCUAUCCAUCGCAUUUACUACGCCUGUUUAUCUUUCGUACGACGACAAAUUCGUACACGUUUGUACGGCAGUUUACAGAAGGAAACGAAACCAAUCGAUUGAUUCGUCGUAAUCGUGCAAAAGCUGCCUCCUUUUUCGCUUUGUGCUUUUUCUGUGUGCGCGUUGAUCGCUUCGUCGUCCGAUACGUCGUAAUAAUUUCACGCUCGCUCGUCGUGCGCGUUAACGAUCGAUAGCUCGUUCGUAAUUAUCGUCGAACCCGCGGUACAGCCGGAACAUCUGGCGCACCACCCUUCCGUCUAUCAUCGUGUCUUCGAAAGCACCGGCAACGUAACGCAGCGAGCGAGCGAACAAGCGCGCGCGCAUAUCACUAUAUUCGAACGUCGACAUUUAGUUUAACGUUUCCUCGAGCGAAGUUUCUUCUCGCGCGACGCGAGUGCAGUGCUUCGAGAUUAGACGCGAAUUGGUUUUAGAAGUCAUCGGGACGACCGCCUGUACAUUGUCUCCUCGGUCACUCGCCAAAGGUGACCGACAGGACACACAUUUUUUUCCUGGAAGCGGUACGCAAACGGUCUCAAGAUUCAGCUCGACACGAUGCCUUGGUUCAUCCUAUUUCUCCUGCUGUUGGCUGUGAUGGAGGCCUUCCCUCGGGAGGCCACCUGUUCCCGCUUGCCGGACAUCUAUUGGAACUCCACCAAUCCAAUGUAAGUACACGGACUGCAGACGUUCUAACAUGCACUCUGGACUUCUUUCGUAAGUAAUAAGCUCGAAAUCGAAGUAACAAUCAUAUCGUACGGACCAAUAUAAACCCUUGAGAACGAAAAAGACGCGAUAGUCGCACUGAAAGAAAGUGGCACGAUUCGUGCCAAAUUGGAUGGCCGGAAUGACGAAUCGUCGCAGUGCUUGUACGCGAAAUUCAAUUAGGCCGAAGGUUCAUCGGUUAGCCCGUGGUUACCUUCGAACGAGCCCCGAGAGAGUACUUUCCUCUCGCUUCCCUUCUCUCUCUCUCCGGAUCGAGUCCCUCUGAAGCGGCGAGUUACACUUUGAUUGAUAAUUUACUAUCGAUAUCGUGUUCCCGAUCGAUUUUCUAACUUUUAAAUCGAAAACGAGAGAUCGUUAUCGACUUUCUUUCUUUUACCCUUUUUUCUUUUUUUUUCUGUUCAUCUCUAAAAAAUAAAAAUGCUCACAUAAAAUUUGUUUAAUGUACAUAUUUCUACAUAAAGAUAUAUUCGUUUGAAUUCAUUUAUUAUUAGAAAUGCAUUUUAAUUCUUUCACAUCGACUCGGUUAACUUUCUCCAUUAUUCACGUGCUCGAGGGAAAUGGUUUUUAGAAAUUUUCCGGUAAGCGACGAUAUCGCGGUUUGGGACAAAAGUUUUCGACGAAGUGAGCCAACGACCGAUACGAAUCCUGAACAUCGCCGUCAGAACCAUUGGAACUCAAGUUUGGAUAUAAUAACGGAAUAUUAUUAACCUCGAGUUAUAAAGUCGACGGAGAGAACGAAGAAGAGACAUAUAGGAUACGACUAACAACUACUAUUCGCUUUUCUCAGCUGAUGUUACAUCAACUAUGAGACUAGAAACACUCGUUUAGUUUGAUAGGAUAACGCGCGGAUCACAAAGUUGCCCUUCAGUUCUGAUUUUCGAGAUGACAUGCAUAACGAUGCACAGUGUGUUUUGCUUUAGAUAUGACCAGAUUGAAUUUAUGAUGUGUUCGAACUUGGUCAAGAUAUUGUUGUAUGAAGAGAACAUAUAACUGAUGAAACUAUCAAAAGGAAUAUGCGAAUAUACGUGGAGGAAAUAUCAGACGCGUUAUAAUGCACGUUCUGAAUCAUAUAUUAAAAAUUGUAUAUUUUAAAAGGUCUCUGAAAUAGGCUUUUUUUCGUAGUAAUUAAUUUUUCAUGUGUUAUAGGUACGUUGUAUGAAAGCUCGGAAAUACAAAGAAAAUAGAAUUUCAUCUCUAUCAAUUUAGCUUAGACGUAAAUUCAGAUGGAAUCACAAGUUGGUAUCACGCGAGAGAACACGUAGGGAUAUAUAUGUAUUCCUGUAGAAAGCAUUUACACGAACUUAAGCUUACUAACGAAUACAAACGUGCGACGAGUACCGACAGAUGACAAAGUCAGGAUCUCGGAGUAAGCAUAUAGGAUUAGUCCGGUUUACAAAGCCCAAAGCUAAUUAUUAUAAUUCCCAGAACGAUGAUAAUCCAUUAAAAACUAAUAUCAUUGGUACUAAAUGAAAAUUAAUCAUCCCUUUUGACAUAGACAUUUCUCGAAAUAUUAAAUGGGUCAACUUGUCGAUAUUUUAUAAGCAUCGCUAAUCAAACUGUGCCCUUUGCUAUACGUGUAUCGUAACAAACGGGCAAGAACCUGCGAUCGGCAAAGUAAAAUUUAUCACGUAGAUACUCUAAACGACUAGCCAGGAUUUAGGUAGUACAUUGUUUAUGGACGUUCUAAAGUACUCGCCGGCAAUAGGUUCGGUACAAUCGAUCGAUCCUUCUCUCGAGCACGCCUCGUUGAAACUGUCCCGUCAAUUAUACUUCCAACGAGGAACGAGAACAAGAGAAGAUCGGAUCAUCUACGUGGAUGAAAAUUAAAAUUCUUUUAAGGAUCACCAAGACGUCGUAAAACUAAACGACACUGCUAUACCGUUUGCACGCACGCUGAGUGCACACAUGUACACACGCGGAGAUCGCAUUUUCUGUGUUCGAGACGAUAAUGACCACGAUAACCGAUUAUAGUCUGAAUUAUGAUGGAAGUUUUAAAGCGCCCCGCCUUCAUUGGCAAAUGCAAUUAAUUAACGAGGAGCCGCCCGCCUAUGAAUUAUUCGUCCGUUUCUCCCUAGCCGUCGGGCGAGCACGAGAGUCGGGCGUCGUCGCAACGGCCACGUCGAGAACGUGAUUCCAACAUUGGAAUCGUGGAUCGUGCUCUCUCGCCGACUGCGAGAGACAAAUUUCCCGUUGAAAUAUGUAAGCGAGAACGCCGUUCCAUCCUUUAAUGCCGGACUCCCGACAAAAAACCUAACAAAUCGCCGCCGUCGCAAAGAGAGCUUCAGGAUGUCCGAAGAGAGAACGCGUUUUAGCACGUUUAGUAGUAAUUUUAAAUUCGUUAGGAACGUCAAGAAUAUUGCAAUCUUCUUUCUUCGAACGUUUUCUUCUUUGUUCCGAAUCCUUUUACACAGAGAACUAGCUAACGUGAUCGUUCGAAAGUAAAACUUUUGAAAUCACAAGUAGGUACUAAUAGUUAUAUUGAAUACAAGUAAUUUCCUUAAUUCUAUAUCUUUUGAACGAAAGUAAUUACGUUAUAGGAUUCAUCCGUGAAAUCUCAAUUUCUAUAUCUUAACAAUCUCAUUUCCUAGCUCGAUAAGUCGGUCCAUUUAAAAGGUUCGCGUUUCCUUUACGGAAUGGCACUUAAGCAAUCGCGGAAAGUUACUUUCGCAAGGCGAGAGUUUCAUAGCCGAAGGGCCGCCGUUAGACGAUUUUAGUGAAAGGUACUCGAAGUCGAGCGAGACGUUCCAAGUGCAUCUCGAUGUGGUACUUGGCCGAUACUACUGGUCGCUGUUCGAGAAAGACAGCACGAGGAAUAUAACGGCAGUACCAAACGCUAUCGCUUGGUCUAAAGUGUCGCUCGUGUAUAAAAGGAAGAAAAGAACGUGCCGGUGCUUACCGGCAUGCCCGAUAGAGCCAGCAAGCCGAACAUUGUGGUAUCGAAGAAGAAAUUGCUCUAGCGAAAGCCAAUAGGUUUAGAUCGAAUCAGCUUUCGAAACGCCUUUGCGCCGAAGCUUUACUUCUUUCUUCGCUCGUGCCCGCGGCUAAAACGAGGCUAAACCCGGAUCCGUACCGUCCUCGAAAAGGCACUACCUUCGAUGAAUCUACGAUCUUCUCCUCUCUCUCUUUCCUCUCUCUUUCUUUAUUUCUUUCUUCUAGAGUAAAAGCUAUUAACCGUAGGAUCCUUCUUUUUUUAACGUCUUUGGGAAGGAAAAUGCUGCUAGUGACGUCCAAUGAAAUCGUGCUAGAACGGAUAUCAUAGGUACGAAAAAGGAUGAUAGCGGAUUCAAUCGAGCGAGAUUAAAUGGAAACGAAAACGUCGCAUCCUUCAGAACGAGAAGGAGAAAGAGAGAGAGAAGAAGAGAGAAGGGCCACUUUAUCGAUGGGUCUACUCUCUCGUACCAUAGUGACCAUAAACGAGCCCUCAGAUUUUUCUCGUCCGUUCAAAGGCAGAGAAGCUAUUAAUACUAAGUCUUUCUUUCCAAAAACAUAGUCGGAUUCAUUACUACGUCACUUAAAAUUCACGACAGUUUUUUUACUAACUGGAGUUGAAUUAAACGUUGGCAACUCGUUAAGCAGAAUUAUCGAUCCAUUUCUCUCUCUCUCUCUCUCUCUCUCUCUCUCUCUCUCUCUCUCUCUCUCUCCCUCUCUCUUU